rnacentral:rRNA from 1 species
AAUCAAGCUACUAAGGGCAGCAGGUGAAUGCCUUGGCGCUAAGAGGCGAUGAAGGACGCAGCAAGCUGCGAUAAGCCAUGGUGAGCCGCAAGCAGGCUUUGACCCGUGGAUCUCCGAAUGGGGCAACCCUCCCUUUUAAGGGAACCGCCGGAUGAAUUCAUAGUCCGUCGGAGCGAAACGAGGUGAAGUGAAACAUCUCAGUAACCUCAGGAAAAGAAAACACAGUGAUUCCGUAAGUAGUGGCGAGCGAAAGCGGAUGAGCCUAAACCGAAGUGAUUUAUCGCUUCGGGGUUGUGGGACCUCCAUAAGUAAGUUUCAAAACCAGUCGAAUGGCCUGGAAAGGCCAGCCAAAGACCGUGAUAGCCGAGUAGGCGACGUGGCGAGACUAACGGGGGUAUCCCAAGUAGCGCGGUGCACGUGAAACUCCGCGUGAAUCUGUCCAGACCACUGGAUAAGGCUAAAUACUACUUAGCGACCGAUAGUGAACUAGUACCGCGAGGGAAAGGCGAAAAGAACCCCUGCUAGGGGAGUGAAAUAGAUCCUGCAACCCGCUGCCUACAAUGUGUGGGAGCUCCGCAAGGAGUGACCGCCUGCCUUUUGCAUAAUGAGUCUGCGAGUUAUUAUCAGUGGCCAGCAUCAGCCUCUUUGAGGUGGAUGCGAAGCGAAAGCGAGUACGAAAUGUGCGACAAGUCGCUGGUAAUAGACCCGAAGCGGAGGUGAUCUACUCUUGAGCAGGUUGAAACCAAGGUAACACUUGGUGAAGGACCGAACUCGUGGAUGUUGAAAAAUCCUGAGAUGACUUGAGAGUAGGAGCGAAAGACUAAUCAAACCCCGUGAUAGCUGGUUCUCUCCGAAAUCGCUUGAGGGCGAGCGUUGGG